CCCUACUUAUAUAUAGGCAUUUUCACGUGUGUGUUGGAGCUUUGUCUGGGUAGGGGAUUCCAUGAAAGAGCUGGUUUGGAUUAAUAUCCUUCGGGUUUCUGCAUGGCGUGGCCCUGACAUUUAUCAGGCACUAGAAUAAAUCUGAAUUGUGUGUAGCGGUUGUCCAUCUACUUAGUUAUUGUAGGCAUUAUGUUUCACAUAAAUAUAGAUAUAUUUGAAUCAUGAGUAACUACAUGUCCACUCUUCGUCCAAAGUUUUUGCUUCUGCAAUAUGAUCUGACUAUUUAGGUCGCAUCCUUCUCCCUUUGCAGAUUCUAAUGCAUUUUGAAAUUGUUCAUGUGCUUCAUUUUUGCACUCUUGCUACUCUCUGGAGAAAUUAUUUGCUCUACCUAAAGCAUGGCUCCUAUGUUGGUAUUCUUGGCCAAUCUAGCUAUUUUAUGAUUAGUAAAUUGUUUGCACUAAUGUACUACCUGCUUACUCUUGGGAGUGUGGAUGACUAUGAUUUUCUUUAUGCUUAUUAUGUGCAAGCAUAGUGUUCUUUGCACAAGCAUGAUGAUGAUCGAAUAAAUUAUAGUUCUCUGAAUGCAUCCUUUUGUCAUUAGGUGAUGUUUUAGGAAAAGAUCCUUGUGUGUUGUUGAAUUGUUUACAAGAAAACAACUAUUCGGGAGUACAUAGAGAUAGAGUGCUUUUUAUUAGUAGAAGCAAUAUAGAGUUGAUGUCGAUUAGACUUACCCGGGUUUCUUCAAAUUUAAUGGUUUGUCGUAUGACAACUAUUGAACUAAAAAUAAUCUAGCGAGCAAUAAUAAAAUGAAGAAUAAGGCAUCCUAUCGCAGAAUCCUAUGAGUGAAUAGUAGCCCAAUACAGUGGCGAAAUAAAAAUGCUUUGUUUGGAUACCAGGCAAAAAAAUAGUUCACGUAGAGAGACUUUAUUAGUUGCAGAGUAACAACACUACCACAUACAAGGGUGUAAUUAAAGAGACUAACUCAUCAACUGGAGUGAGAUACUUAUUGCUCUAUUUGUAGUGAAGAUGGCCCCUUUUGGAGUGAGGCGCAGCUAUAGUUGCUCUAUGUUGUGAGAAUACCCAAGCCCUCAAAUGCCGAGAGGCUUCUCUGGUUAUGGGUUGCACAUUCAAAAAGCAAGAUUAGUACACCGGCUAGAUCUCAAGUAUGCAUCAAGCCAAAUUAUUCCAAACAUUGUUGCACUAUGCUGCAUGUAGCUUUUGGUGUGGGCUUCGUGAAUGAGAUGGCGGAGAAGAUGUCAGUGGUGGAAGAGGACAUGUUAUAGAAGAUGUCGUGGGCGGUACCGGAGGAAAUGGUCAAAUGGGGUUCCUCGGAGCGGACAAGAAGGAUGCUGCAGCAGCAUGUAUUGGGUUCCAUUUCCAUCCAGAGAAGAACUUAUGAACAGUAUGUGCGUGAUCCAUUCAUUCUUUCGUUUGAUCCUUCCUUAUUCCCCUCAACCCAAAUUCGUUUUCUUUUGCACUUACUCAUGGUUUUUAUGGAUCAAUAAAUUUAGUGACAUUAAUGGCAAUGAUAUCCAUAAACUUCACAUUGUUGUUUUUCAGCAGAAUAUGAUGUUCGUCUCUUCUUCAUAUGGACUGCAAUAAGGUCGAUGGUA